rnacentral:lncRNA from 1 species
UUUUUUUUUUAAUUAAUUAGUUAAUUAAUUAAUUUUUGACUGGGUCUCAACUAUUAUAGCCCUCUGGCUAGGCUGGCCUCGAACUCACAGGGGCCACACCUGGGUUAUUUAGUUUAUUGGAGUCUAACUUCUGGAGUUCUUUAUGUUUUGGAUGUUAGCCCUUUAUUGGAUGUAGGAUUAGUGAAGAUCUUUUCCCAAUCUGGAGGCUGCUAUUUUGUCCUAUUGACAGAGUCCUUUAACUUACAGGAGCUUUUCAGUUUCAUGGGGUACCAUUUAUUAAUUACUAAUCUUAGAGCCUAAGCCAUUUGUGUUCUAUUUAGAAAAUUGUCUCCUGUACCAAUUCGUACACUUUCUCUUCUGUUGGGGUCAGUGUAUCUGGUGUUAUGUUGCCGUUCUUUGAUCCACUUGGACUUGAGUUUUGUGCAAGGUGAUAAAUAUGGAUCUAUUUGCACCAUUUGUUGAAGAUGUUUUCUUUUUUCCAUUGUAUGGUUUUAGCUUCUUUGUCAAAAAAUCAAGUGUCCAUAGGUGUGUGGGAUUAUUUCUGGGUCUUUGAUUUUAUUCCAUUGAUCAGACUGUCUGCUUCUAUACCAAUUCUAUGUGGUAUUUAUUUAUUUAUUUAUCUCACUCUUCUUUUUUUUUUUUUUUUUUUUUUGGUUCUUUUUUUUUUCGGAGCUGGGGACCAAACCCAGGGCCUUGCGCUUCCUAGGUAAGCGCUCUACCAC